CGGGUAUUUUGAAUGGGCUCUGCCCACCGAGAGCCUCUUCUGCCAAGAAGGGAAAGAAAACAAUAAGGAGAAAGCAGUUCUUCAAGACAAAGUUUCUCUGUGUAGCCCUGGCUCAAACUGCUUUCUGGAGAACUCUGACAUGACCUUGCAGGCUCUCGACACCUAACUGAUACUGUAAUUGUGUUUUCAAAAGGCUAUUCCAAACUAGCUCCUUUAGGGUCAUGGAAAACUUGGUAAGACCAGUUGGUUCCAUGAGUGUGGGCCCACUGUUUCACUUCUCCGGCCUUGCUUCUUGGUCAGAAACAAUGCUGUGUAGACCAUCAUGAUAGUGUGUAAGGCAUUCUAUAGGUCAGUGGAUGGAGGUUUGGGCAAAUGCCUUACAUGAGGGAAAGGCAAAUCCAUAACUAGAAUAAAUACCUAGUCCAAUAAAGACAAACUACUGUCGUUUGCCUGG
rnacentral:lncRNA from 1 species